CUGCAAGGUGUUGAGAGCAGAUCGCGGA
rnacentral:sRNA from 1 species